GGCCGCUUGGUCUAGUAGUAUGAUUCCUGUUUUGGGCGCUUCAGCUUUACAGGAGGUCGCGAGUUCAAUUCUCGCAGCGGCCC
rnacentral:tRNA from 1 species